AGUGAGUCAGAGUCAAAAGAAUGAAACUAUUCCCCUUUCUUUAGAGAACUUCUCUUGUCUUGUCUUGUCUUGUCUUGUCUUGUCUUAUUUUAUUUCUAAGUGAUCUCCACACCCAGCGUGGGUCUCAGACCCACAGCCCUGAGAUCAAGAGUCGAAUACUCCACCGACUCAAGCCAGCCAGGUGCCCUGGAGAGAGCUUCUAUUUGCGUUUGUUCUAUGUGCUAGACGUUAUGCUACAUGUAUUAGAUAUCUCAUGCCAUCUAAAAUCUUUUACAUAGCCAACUUUUGAUGAAUUUGUUUUUUAAAAAAAGUUUUAUUCAUUUUUUAAAGUUUAUUUAUUUUGAGAGAGCGAGAGAGCGUGUGCACACAGGUGAGGAAGGGGCAGAGAAAGGGGAGAGAGAGAAUUCCCAGCGGGCUCCGAGCUGUCAGCCCAGAGCCCCAUGCAGGGCUCUGUCACUGUGAGAUCAUGACCUGAGCCAAGAUCAAGAGUUGGAUGCUUAACCGACUCAACCACCCAGGCUCCCAUGAUGAAUUUGUUUUUGUGAGAAUAUUUAGGGGCAGUGUUUCCAUGUGUCAAUGUAGAACAACGGAUGACAGAAUUGCUAAUCACAACUCUUCUUAUGUACCAUGUCAGGUGCCCUCAAACCCCCACCAUAUCUGGCAUUCUGUGAAUAUAAUUAGGAGUUGAUUCUGUUAAAUAAUUUCCAUGAUACUAAGAAUUCCUGUCUGCCUGGUUCACUGAAACUAUACCUGAUGCACGUUUUUAAGUGCUCAAGUAAUGUUAUUUGAACGAAUAAAGAAUUAGCAAGAAGGCUAUGAUAGAAUUAAUAAUGACCUUAUUCAAUGCAUGUUUAGCAUUCUGUGUUUCAGGGAUUAUGCAGGGCUCUUAAGUUUGUUGAAUGACCAAGUGAAGUAGUGGUAAUUUGGAAAAAUAAUACAAGCAAUUGGGUACUUGGUGCUUUUUGUCUGUAUCUGUUAUCAAAUUUUUGUAUUCCUGUUUGGGGAACUUUAUAUAGUAAAUUUGACUUUACUUGGAUAAAGCUUGUCAAAGACAUUGUUCUCUGUUUCUUAGUUGUAGAAUUAUUUUGUAGUAGCAAGUUAGUUACGGGUCUCAGUAUACCAGAAAUAUAUUGCAUCUGUUAAGUUUCUUAACUACUAUCUUUUUUAUUUUCAAGCAUUAACUCAUUAUAAUUAUUGAAUAAAACUGUAGAUUCUUUAAAGAUACCUUUUACUCAAGGGGAGGUACCAGGCAGGUUGCUGUUACCGCUUCCGGUAACAUUAAUAAGUACAGUGGUGAACCUGUUGACUGCCAGAUGGAGAGUUUGCUUAGACUUAGCACUGGUCAAGUCCACCAGUCCAGACAGCAUGUAUGCUAUAAUGUUAUUUCUAAUUAUAUAUAAAUGUAGACUUUUUCAAAACAGACUUUUGGUAGCUAUGCUCAAUAAUGAGUGUUUCCUUUUUUUUUUUGCAAAAUUAAAAACAAUUAAGCUGUCUUCUUGGGUUAUUAAAAGAUAGAAAUGAAAGGGGAUGAAAAUAGCUAUACUUUAUUUAAAAGAAUGCUGCAGAGGAAAAGCAUUUGUGGGAAAUGCACCUAUGAGUAAAUAUGUAGCCAAAACCAUCUAUACACAGAUUUACUAUAAAUACAAUAUUUAUUUUAUUUGAAUAUACAAUAUCUGAAAUAAUGGAUUCAUGUUUUUUUU